UAGGGAAUAUUAGUAAUGGGCGAAAGCCUGAACUAGCAACGCCGCGUGUGCGAAGAAGGCCUUCGGGUUGUAAAGCACUUUUUGAGAGGAUGAGGAAGGACGGUACUCUCAGAAUAAGUCUCGGCUAACUACGUGCCAGCAGCCGCGGUAACACGUAGGAGGCGAACGUUAUCCGGAUUUACUGGGCGUAAAGCGCGUGUAGGUGGUUUGGUAAGUAGGGCGUGAAAGCUCCUGGCUCAACUGGGAGAGGCCGUUCUAAACUGCCGAGCUUGAGGAUGGUAGAGGGAGGUGGAAUUCCGGGUGUAGCGGUGGAAUGCGCAGAUCUCCGGAGGAACACCAGUGACGAAAGCGGCCUCCUGGACCAU
rnacentral:rRNA from 1 species